UCUAAUCUUUUUUUAAACACAUAAUCUCAGCUCAGCCGUAGUGUAGUGCCAAAAUAUUCUCUCGUCUCAAAGGAAACAAUGGAGGCACCACAACAAACACACAUCACUUGCAAGUCUGACUGCUGUAAUAAGCCCAAACCCGAAGUGGAGAAAGAGUAUAAGUGUAUGCGUGUUUCUGUGUUGUAUCCAAUUAGUGUAAAAAAGUGAGCACUUGUAGAAUCUGAUCCACAACGACCCAAACUUGGCUGAAGAUCCACUCGUGGGCAUCCAGAUUCCACCCACCCAGGUAUGAGAUAGAUACCCAUAGCGCCAGGCUCCAAGGAAGGAGCCUGGCGCUAUGUCAAGAUCCAACCCCCUCCAAUUUGGCCUAUGUCACCGAAACCGGUCUAAAUCAGAAAGGAGGGGGAGCGUGAAGAAUUCAUACCCAUAGGGGCCAGACUUGUCCUAGAGCUAGCAAUGACGAGAGCGGGGGAGGGGGGGCAGCGUUUUGUCUCCAACCGACCGUGUGGAGCCCUAAUUGUGUGCGGCGUGCUGGCGUGGAAACGCGGGCAGCGGGUCGUAAAUCCACGCAGUGGUUUUGUUUUCGUCUGUUUGUCAGUUUGUUGGCGAGUUUUUAUAGAUAUAUAUAUAUAUAUAUAUAUAUAUUUUAUAGAAUCACUUGGUUUCAUGAUUGGCGUUCUG
rnacentral:lncRNA from 1 species